rnacentral:lncRNA from 1 species
UUAAAUUAAGGCUUUAUGGAUUUGCCCCGGGCUAAUUUUAGCAAAGUUAAAAGUCUCAACUUUGCCAUGUAGGAUGGCCAGUCAUGAGGGGGCUCUUUGGCUGUUGAAAUUUGAUAUUUUUAGUAGCCAUCAUCAGCUAUAUAAACCCCCCUUUUCUGCCCAUUCAAAUCAUCCCUCAUUCUUGUUUCAAAAAAAAAAAACCAUCCCUCUUCACAUCUUUUCUCUCACAACUCUUCUC